CAACAAAACAAGAAUAAUAAGAAAAAACAAAAAUUAAGAAAACAAAUCAAUAGAAGUGCAAUAUGUACAUACUAGUACUAUCAAAUGCCACCAUAUAAUUGAAUUAUAACAAUAUUGAUAGUUGAUAAUUGUUUAUUAUUUAACAUUAUUUUAGGUGCAGUACUUAUAUGUCCACGAGUACAACAUGUCUCUUUGGCAAUGAAAAUGAAGAGAUAUUACAAGUAGUAUAUACUACAAUAAAAACAGUGGUAUGAUACUACUAUUAGCUAGUAAUCUUAUCAUAUAGGAAUAAAAUCUCCCCACCCCAUUAUAAGUAGCCAUGUGGCGUUAAAAAACUUUAUUAAAAAAAGUAACUCAAUCCAGUACACGGUUAAAGAUAAAGUGUGAGCAUUUCAAGUCAAAUUUAUUUUCCACUUAUCAUUUUCAUCACAAACAGAGAAGAGGAACUUGAUUUCAGUCUUCUUCCUUUACAAAUUCUAGAAAAAAGUUAUUUACUCAUUUCUUUGUUCAUAAUGACCAAAUUAAUCUAGUACCACAAAAUCAAAACAACAUAAAAGUUACAAUUCAAGGUGGAAGAAAUAUUACCAACAACGAACGACGAAUCGGAAAAUGGAAUGAGGGGCGAAGGAGUUGGUCGUCGGUCGGAACCUUGGUGCAUGGAGGUUGGGUGUGAUGCGGAUGUCGUCACAAAAUACUUCAUCGUGACUUGAUGGUGGUGGAGAACGCAAAAAGGAUGUCGACCGUUCACGGUGGUUUGCUGCUGCGUUUUUGGCGUCUACAGGUCGGACUUAUUGGUGUUAUUGCGUUGUUGCAGCUCGAUACCGAAUGGGAUUUUGGUGGUUGGAGGGUCCUGAGUGCGGCGGUGAUGGUUAUUGGAGCUUGAGAUUCAAUGCCAUAAUGCUUUCCGUCUUAUUGUGUUGUGUUUUUCACAUGUUGAUGGUGAAUAUUGAUAUGUGUGAAUGUAUUGGUUUGUAUGUACGUGACAAAUUUGGAGAAUGUACUUUUUAGUGUAAAAAGUGCAUGAAAAUAGGAUUUGUGGUAUAUAUGUAUGUGACUAGUUUUUGUGUAUUGUGUAAGGAUUGAUAAUUGGAAGUGACCUCCUUAGAAAAUUGGAUAUUGUCUAUUUAUAAUAAAAUUAUUAGGUUAAAACAUUAAUUAAAAUAAUAAAAAUAAAUUAAGAAAUAAAUCUUAAUAACUUCUA
rnacentral:lncRNA from 1 species